rnacentral:lncRNA from 1 species
CAUUUUCUUAACAAACUAUGCUGACAUAGUAAAGAUAGUCAGAAUCCAAUGGCUUUUAAAGAGAGCCAGAAUCCAAUGGCUUUGGGUAUCUAGGGUUAAGAAGAGUUUGCUUUGACUCAUCUUGUCCAUAUUUACUCUUACAGCAGUUAUAUACAUUGUCUUCCCUGAAUUUUGGUCCUCUGGAAUUCAGGGUAACCUGUCUAUACCUGCUAAUAUCUGCUCAAAGCGUUACAAUAGGAAUUUCCUGACUAAUUCUUAAGAGAGGUUUGGAUGAUUAAGCAGUGUGAUAGAGGAUUAGGAUAAUGUUAGAAAGCCCUAUAAGGAUAUUUCUAAAAUAAUCAGGGAUGCUGAAAGACAAGGCAUUUAUCUCUUUAACAAUUCCACCCACUCUUAAUAAGAUGCAGUGUAAUGUCACAAUGGUGAAAGCCUACCCCCUUAAGAAAGUGUUUUCUUUUCAACAUCCUCUCCAGGGUUACAGCCUUCCAGCGGGAAGAGGACUGUGGUACAUAGGCUUUUUAGAAUGGCAAGUGAAAUUGCAUGUGUUGUGGAGCAUUGCGGGGGAGGAAGGGUGAGGAAUUAUCUGAUAGGGCAGGAGUAUAAUUGGAGAAGGAGUUGGGGGGAGGGAGAGAAGAUUGCAUUCAGAAUAACCUUGGCUGACUAAUGCAAAAAGUAGAAUGAGGCAGGAUGUCUCUAGCCUGGGUCUCGGUGACAGGCAGGCAGUUUUGCAGGGGAGUCUACUGUAGAGAGUGAAUGAGAUGGAGAGGGACUCCAUGUAGUAAAAUACACUUUUAUUUUUUCACUAUGGCUGGAAUGUUUGUCGUAAUUUUGACCAAGGGACACAGUAAACCAAGUGCCCAGCUAGUUGCAGAGUGGGGAAUCAGAUGGUUCAUAGGAAACAGAGCUCAAGAAGAGGGAGACAGUGUUAGGAAGUCUCCAGCUUCUCUGGUUGGAGCAGGAGAUGACAGAAUGGAACAUAACUAUUAUUUGCUGCGUUAAAAUGCAAUCUUUCGUCGUUUUCAUUCAUCAAGAUAGAAUUAAAAAUUAAAACAAACUAAAAACAAAAUGUAUUUACCAUAUUAUGAUUACUGGUAACCUUUAGAUUUAUUGGAUUGCUUGUAAUGUGAUAUCUAUGGUGCCAGGUAUUAUCAUUUAAAAUAAAAUCUCAAGAAUAUGACAUAUGAAAAAUGACAACUCAAAUUACCAUGUAAUAUUUUUCCAGAAAUGAAGGGUCCCUUUCCUGUGUUUCAUUAGGAUGAAGAUAUCUGAAACCAUGCCCUUUAUUUGGGGUAUGGGGCAAGGGUAAGUAAUAUGUAACAACUCUGGCAUUAAGCUUAAGAAACUUAAAUUUUAUUUUGGAUUCCAAUAUUGAAGCGUAAGUCAUAAGAAUUAAAACAUUAAGAGAGAAGUUUUGGGGCUGGGCAUGGUGGCUCACACCUGUAAUCCUAGCACUUUGGGAGGCAGAGGUGGGCGGAUCACAGGUCAGGAGACCGAGACCAUCCUGGCUAACAAGGUGAAACCCCGUCUCUACUAAAAAUACAAAAAUUAGCCGGGCGUAGUGGCGGGCGCCUGUAGUCCCAGCUACUCGGGAGGAUGAGGCAGGAGAAUGGCGUGAACCUGGAAGGCGGAACUUGCAGUGAGCCACUCCAGCCUGGGCAACAAAGUGAGACUCCGUCUCAAAAAAAAAAAAAAUAAAAUAAAAAAGAAGAAGUUUUGAGAAGUUUGUAAAUGUUUAAGUAAAUUUAGGACAGCUUUUUUGUUUAUGAAUUUGCUUUAAACCAUUCUCUUACUAAGAUUAUGAGAAGUUAUUAUGGUGCUCUCAUUAAACCAAUGUGAGCAAUUCUGGAGAUUCCUUUAGACGAGUGGUUUUCAACCUGCAAUCCGUGGACGAGCUCCUGCCUCAAUAUUUUCUGGAAAUUUGUUAGAAAUGCAAAUUCUUUGACCCUGAAUCUGAGUGGGGCUCAGAAAUCUGGGUUUUAACAAAUGUGCUAGGAGAUUCUGUUACCUGCUAACAUCUGAGAACACUGCUUUAGGCAAUUUCUUUCUCUUGUGACAUGUAUAAAGAUGAGAAGGAAAAAAAUAAAAUAGUGUAUUGUGUUAAUAUUUACUGUUUUUGUCCCAGAAUAUUCUGUUUUAAGACAAAAUACUAUCUUAAAAAACAAGAUUUGAAAAGAAGAAUAAAAAUGUAAGCACACUAAAUUUAUCGUCUGAGUACCUCACUAAUGUUUAGUAUGGGAUUUGAAAAACUAAAUUGAUUUCUUUAGAAGUAGUUAUGAAUUCUUGACAUAAAAUCAUCAUUGAGCUUGCUAUUCAGAGUUGUGAUGCUCUACAUUUCUUGGCUUGCUGGUUUUAGCUGUCCCUGAAAUUAGGCCUGCAUCUCUGAAUAUUGACUAUAAUUACUAAUCUUGAGUUUGUCAUUAUACUUUCAGUAAAUGGAGGUGUAAACACUUUCUGAAAACCACAUCUGUGCUGAGAGCAUUUUGGAGAAGGUUUUCAAAAUGGCAUUAUCUUCCAUCUUCCCAGGAGAAUAGCAACUAGAUUAAGAUUCUAGACCACUCUUGUUUAACUUAGGAGAAAAAAGGAGGAAAAAAUUAAAAAUAGUUCCCAAUGUGUUCCAAGUAAAAAGAAGAAAGAAGAAAAAAGAGUAAGAAUAAAAAAAGAAGAAAGAGGAGUAAAAAAGGUACCCCACUCCCUAAAAUACUACUACUUUGGUAUAACAGAGUGUAUUUCAUACUAAAAUAUAAUAAUUACAUUUAAUUAAUUUUAAGUUUGGCUUAGAAGAUUACCAUUAUUUGAUAUUUGCACACUUAUACUAAUGUGCCAUUGCAGAUAUAUAGGGGAAUACAGAUGUAUGGAGGAGGGGAGGUGAAGGGAAAACAAUUAUCUUAAUAUGUGCAAAAUGGAAUUUAUAGUUGUGAUUAGUUAUCAAGAUGCUUAUUAGAGAGAAGACCACAUGUAUAUGCAGCGGACAAAUGUUACAAGAUAUUGAAGGGAAAUUAAUUAUUGAGAAUGUGAACAGGCUUCUUUUAUUAGUCAAAGCUGGAUAAUACUAAGGAUUUUUGUUUGUUCUUUUGCUAAAGAUGCUGCCAUGUGGAAAUCAGGGCACUGCUUUUAGGUUGCCGUCUCCCGCCUGCAUAGGCAACUAGUCCUGUUAGAAUGGAUGCCGAAGCUUUUUUUCUUCUACCUCAAGUGCCCUCUAGCGUGCAAUAUCUGUGCAUGUUGCUAUGUACAAGGAGGAGGAAAGAAGAAAGAAAGAGAAAUAUUCUACCAAUUGCUAUCCUAAUUCCUGAAUUGCUCUGCUCUUCUUUUCUCCUUCCUCAAAGGGGUCAUUUCCACCUAAGUGUUUAGCAAAACAAAAAAGGUGCUGUUGCUUUUGCAUGAAAAACUAAUCACUCAUUCUCUAAACUGAGAAACAAAUGCUAAUCCUUUCUCAGGGGUUUCUUUUGAACAUUCAUCAUAAUUUUCCAGAAGUUUCAUACACUCUAGUAAUCAGGCAAAUAAAAGAAGGUAAGUUGCUCCCUAGGAAGAAAUUCUGUUUUGUUCCUCACUCCACCACGGACCAGCUAUAAGGCUUUUGAUGCAAAGUGAUUAAACUUUCAAUGGAUUUUAAGUUUGUGUCUCCAUAAGAGUGCAUAAUACUUCUUUCCAUCCUCAGGGGGGUGGUGUGAGGUCUAACUGAGGUUUAUAAAACAAUUUCAGUUCCUUAGAUACAAUUCGAUACACAUUUGAACUUGACUUUCAUCUUGCAACUACUAACGGGGUUUCAAAUUCUCUUUGGUAGUCCAUAGGGAAACUGUGAUCAGGAUCUGUAUUUUCAUAAACAUGUCGUUAAAACAGCUGUAUUGUAAAUAGUGGAUUUACUUAAGAGAUUUGGAAUGGUAGAAAAUGGAAAAGGAUAUUUGCAGAAGAAAAAUACACUUGUUUUUGCAAACAUGUCUGUGUAUGGAUAAAUAUAGUUAAAUAGUAAGGCAAAAUUUCUGCAAGACAUACAUUUGGGCAUAUCUUCCUAAAUUUUAAAACAAACUAACAAUAACAGAAGGUAUUUUUACUCACCCAGAUGCCACCCGCUAAACUCUUAGUCUCUGAGAAAGGAGAUACCUGUAAACAAAUUUAUGUAUUGGCAUCUGUUCAGAUGGUAAGAUAUCUAGACACCUGUUAUAUAACUUGGAGAUUACUAUUAUAGUGAUGUGAUUAUUAUGCAGCAUUGUGUUUUAUUAAUAUCCUCAUAGCUACAAUACUUUGAAGGGCAAGAAAGGAGAAAGGCAAGCUAACAUGACAUAUUUCAUUACUUUCUUCUCAUGCAGUAUCUCUUUAAUUAUUAAAGCACUAUAGAUGGUGGCUAUCGUUUGUAUCCUUUAAAAUAGGAGAAAACUGAGGCUCAGAGAAGUUAAGUGAUUUGUUCAAGGUUACACAGUUAAUAAGUCAAAGAGUAUAAUUUAAACCCAUGUUUUCCAACUUCAAUUGUUGUCCAGCACUGCCUCUCAAUAUUAAACUACUAAUAAGUGACUAUUAUAACCUACUUUUAAAUAAUGCAAUACCUCACUAUAGAAUGGAUUCAUAAGUUGCAAUGAAAAAGAAG